rnacentral:rRNA from 1 species
GGGAACGUAUUCACCGCAGCGUUGCUGAUCUGCGAUUACUAGCGACUCCGACUUCAUGGGGUCAAGUUGCAGACCCCAAUCCGAACUGAGACUGGCUUUUUGGGAUUCGCUCCACCUUGCGGUAUUGCAGCCCUUUGUACCAGCCAUUGUAGCAUGCGUGAAGCCCUAGACUUAAGGGGCAUGAUGACUUGACGUCAUCCCCACCUUCCUCCGAGUUGACCCCGGCAGUCUCCUAUGAGUCCCCGGCAUUAUCCGUUGGCAACAUAGGACGAGGGUUGCGCUCGUUGCGGGACUUAACCCAACAUCUCACGACACGAGCUGACGACAGCCAUGCAGAACCUCUACGAGUGUCCUUGCGGAAGCGCCCUUUCGGACGUGGUCACUCGCUGUUCAAGCCUGG